rnacentral:lncRNA from 1 species
CCAAUGCAAUUUUACAGCGGGUAUAUGAUCAAACGAAGUAAAACUUGAAACAUAAAAAGCAGGCUGACGAAGCUGCGCAUCCUGGCCAUUUCUGCAGUAUCGUGCCAUACGAAGAGUUUAAGCAGGGAUACUGCGUCUAAACACCUUGAUUCAAGCAUCUGCAGAUGCGACUGUGGGGCGGUCGAAGAUAAAAUGCACGUUGAGAGAGGUGAUCCAAUGGAUCACCAUCCACACUUGCAGCGCGCCAGAGAUCUUCCAUGCCAUAAAUACCAGGGGCUUUCACAGCUAUGAAGCACAACCCAAUAAGCAGGACAUGCCUCGUGAAACGAUGUCUACUUAUGAUAUUGAGCCAAAAGAUGUUAACAUGUGCGCAUAACAAUAGGCUCAUUCAUACAAAGCCCGAAGCCCGAGAAUUAACAACAAGCAGGCAGAGCAAACACGUCCUUGGAAGGAGUAGCUGAGAGAGGUGAUCCAAUGGAUCACCAUCCACACUGGCAGCGAAGCAGAGACCUUCAAUGCCAUAAAUACCAGGGGCUUUCGCAGCUAUGAAGUACAACCCAAUAAGCAGGACAUGCCUCGUAACACGAUGUCGACCUAUGAUGUUGAGCCAGUAAUGUUAGCACGUGCGCAUAGUAGAA